GAGCGCACAGUACGAUGAAAGUUGUAAGCUGUGUUCGGGGGGGAGUUAUUGUCUAUCGUUGGCCUCUAUGGUAGAACCCGUCGGGGAGGCCUGAGAGGCGGUGGUUUACCCUGU
rfam:Triticum aestivum chloroplast DNA, complete genome.